CGCGGGGUGGAGCAGCUUGGUAGCUCGCGAGGCUCAUAAUCUCGAGGUCACGGGUUCAAAUCCCGUCUCCGCAA
rnacentral:tRNA from 1 species